rnacentral:rRNA from 1 species
GACAGAGGGGGCAAGCGUUGCUCGGAAUUACUGGGCGUAAAGGGCGCGUAGGCGGGAUGGCAAGUCGGUCGUGAAAUCCCUCGGCUCAACCGAGGAACGUCGAUCGAUACUGCCGUUCUUGAGGAUUGCAGAGGAGACUGGAAUUCCCGGUGUAGCGGUGAAAUGUGUAGAGAUCGGGAGGAACACCGGUGGCGAAGGCGGGUCUCUGGGCAAUUCCUGACGCUGAGGCGCGAAGGCCAGGGGAGCAAACGGG